UGGGGAAUUUUGGACAAUUGGGGAAACCCUGAUCCAGCCAUCCCGCGUGUGCGAUGAAGGCCUUCGGGUUGUAAAGCACUUUUUGCAGGAAAGAAACGUCAUGGGUUAAUACCCCGUGAAACUGACGGUACCUGCAGAAUAAGCACCGGCUAACUACGUGCCAGCAGCCGCGGUAAUACGUAGGGUGCAAGCGUUAAUCGGAAUUACUGGGCGUAAAGCGUGCGCAGGCGGUUCGGAAAGAAAGAUGUGAAAUCCCAGAGCUCAACUUUGGAACUGCAUUUUUAACUACCGGGCUAGAGUGUGUCAGAGGGAGGUGGAAUUCCGCGUGUAGCAGUGAAAUGCGUAGAUAUGAGGAGGAACACCGAAGGCGAAGGCAGCAUCCUGGGAUAACACUGACGCUCAUGAACGAAAGCGUGGGGAGCAAACAGG
rnacentral:rRNA from 1 species